rnacentral:rRNA from 1 species
GCAAUGCACGAAAGUGUGACGGGGUCACCCCGAGUGCCAUCCGCUGAGGGUGGCUUUUGUUCGGUGUAAUGAGCCGAAUGAAUAAGGAGAGGGCAAGACUGGUGUCAGCCGCCGCGGUAAUACCAGCUCUCCGAGUGGUAGGGAUGAUUAUUGGGCUUAAAGCGUCCGUAGCCGGCUUAGCAAGUCUCCUGUUAAACUCAGCGACCUAAUCGUUGAAUCGCGGGAGAUACUACUAGGCUAGGAGGCGGGAGAGGUCGACGGUACUUCUGGGGUAGGGGUGAAAUCCUAUAAUCCCGGGAGGACCACCAGUGGCGAAGGCUGUCGACUAGAACGCGCUCGACGGUGAGGGACGAAAGCUGGGGGAGCGAACCGGAUUAGAUACCCGGGUAGUCCCAGCCGUAAACGAUGCGGGCUAGGUGUUGGGAUGGCUACGUGCCAUUUCAGUGCCGCAGGGAAGCCAUUAAGCCCGCCGCCUGGGGAGUACGGCCGCAAGGCUGAAACUUAA